ACGUAGGGGGCAAGCGUUGUCCGGAAUCACUGGGCGUAAAGGGCGCGUAGGCGGCCUGGUAAGGUCGCGGUGAAAGCCCGGGGCUCAACCCCGGGUCGGCCGUGGCAACUGCGAGGCUUGAGCACAGUAGAGGCGGGUGGAAUUCCGAGUGUAGAGGUGAAAUUCGUAGAUAUUCGGAAGAACACCAGUGGCGAAGGCGGCUCACUGGACCGGUAUUGACGCUGAGGUGCGAAAGCGUGGGGAGCAAACAGGA
rnacentral:rRNA from 1 species